ensembl:snoRNA U3 Small nucleolar RNA U3
AAGACUAUACUUUCAGGGAUCAUUUCUGUAGUUGGUCACUAGAGGAGAGUGAUCUUCCCUGAUCGGCGUCACAAGCCACGAGGAGGAUGGUUGUGCUUUCUCCUGAGCGCGAAGCGGGUGUGCGGUGCUGCUUGUGCAGGGACCGCCCACCAUUGAUGACCGUUCCCGCCUCCCUCGGGGGGCGGGAGGGAGAGAGCACGGGCUGAGUGGU